rnacentral:lncRNA from 1 species
GAUGAGAAAGACAUUAGAAUAAAUAAUACUAUGGGUUUGAUACCAACUUGGAUCUUGAGGACAAAUAUAACCAAGAGAUAGCUCUCAUGCGAGGGGGAAAGCAAGGUUAUGGUAACAUCACAAAAAGGUCAACAAGAGAUGUAGCCUUUCAACUUGAUCACAUUAGGGGGCAACUCACAACUUGGCUACAUACAAACCAUAUUCCCAACAUGGCAUAAGUAGGGCAACUUGACCCAACUAACC